UAAUACAGAGGGUGCAAGCGUUAAUCGGAAUUACUGGGCGUAAAGCGCGCGUAGGCGGCUUGACAAGUCGAGUGUGAAAUCCCCGGGCUUAACCUGGGACCUGCAUUCGAAACUGUCUUGCUAGAGUAUGGGAGAGGGAAGUGGAAUUUCAGGUGUAGCGGUGAAAUGCGUAGAUAUCUGAAGGAACAUCAGUGGCGAAAGCGACUUCCUGGACCAAUACUGACGCUCAGGUGCGAAAGCGUGGGGAGCAAACAGGAUUAGAUACCCUGGUAGUCCACGCCAUAAACGAUGACAACUAGAUGUUGGGAGGGUUAGCCUCUCGGUGUCGUAGCUAACGCGUUAAGUUGUCCGCCUGGGGAGUACGGCCGCAAGGUUG
rnacentral:rRNA from 1 species